AUAUCAAUAAGCGGAGGAAAAGAAACUAACAAGGAUUCCCCCAGUAGCGGCGAGCGAAGGGGGAAAAGCCCAGCACGUAAUCCCCGUCCGAACGGAGGGGAGAUGUCGUGUGCGGGAGGCUCCAACGAAUCGAGCGACGGGCCAGUCUAAGUUUCCCUUGAACGGGGCCACUGCCCAUAGAGGGUGACAGGCCCGUACGACGGCCCGUCCUCGCGGUAGGAGUCUCCUCAGAGUCGCGUUCCUUGAGAGUGGAGCGCUAAGUGGGUGGUAAACUCCAUCUAAGGCUAAAUACUGCCGCGAGCCCGAUAGCGAACAAGUACCGUGAGGGAAAGUUGAAAAGMACUAGACCAAGUAUCUGCUACCGUA
rnacentral:rRNA from 1 species